CUGACUUCCGGGAUCCGACUCGACUUCCUGAUCCACCCUCGGCACUUCUGGCAUUGUUCCUGCCGCUGACAUUUAUGUGCUCCAACUUUUUGUCCCGCCCCUUGGCGCUUCCGGGAGAUUGAUGGGCGCGACCUGUUGCCCCUGCUGCGAGGGGAGACCUGGCACUCCGCCCACGAGGUCCUGCUGCACUACUGUGAGGUCUUCCUGCACGCAGUCCGCUGGGUACAGCGUGACAGUGGCCAGGUGUGGAAGGCCCACUUCGUAACGCCGACCUUCGAUCCCUUGGGGUCGGGGUCGUGCAGUGGGGCAGGGGGCGCCGCAGCCGUGUGCCCAUGCGUGGGC
rnacentral:lncRNA from 1 species